GUACAAUCUAUUAUAAAGGAGAGAAAUAGAUGAAAUCUGCUUGAUAGAUGAUACAGUCUUCUAGAAGGGAGUUGAAGUAAAACCAAAACUUGUAAGACAGGUGGUCCUGUAAAAUAAGUCCUUGGACAAGUUCUGUAACUGCCAGCAGUAUGGUAGGUAGCAGUUUGAAAUCUGUCUGCUGGACCUAAGAACCAAGUGUAUGAACCAUCUGGAGCCCCUGGGAAACAUCAGGACAGAUGGCAUAAGAUGCAGAAGUGAAGUCAAGCCAAAGUACGGACAUUCCAGAUGAUAUCAGUUUUCUGGAUUAAAUUAUUAAAUUGGCCUAUCUCAGGAAUAUUUCUCCAGUGUAGAUUUGGCUUGAAAUUUUUCACGCUAUCUCCUCACAUUUUGUCCCAAAGAGACUGUAUCCUUUCCCCUCUUUUUAUUAUUUUCCAAACAUUAUUGCAUAUACUGAUCCCCAUGUUUUUAAAUUUACUUUUUUCUGACAUGAUCUUUUCCUCA